rnacentral:rRNA from 1 species
CCGGCAACCGGCGCGACGGUGAGUAACACGUAUGCAACCUCGCCCGUCUCGAGGGGAUAAUCGUCGGAAACGGCGUCUAAUACCCCGUAUGAAGCUGGACGGCAUCGUCUGGUUUUGAAAGAAUAUCGGAGACGGAUGGGCAUGCGGCGCAUUAGCUAGUUGGCGGGGUAACGGCCCACCAAGGCGACGAUGCGUAGGGGUUCUGAGAGGAAGGUCCCCCACACUGGUACUGAGACACGGACCAGACUCCUACGGAAGGCAGCAG